rnacentral:rRNA from 1 species
GACGGAGGAUGCAAGUGUUAUCCGGAAUCACUGGGCGUAAAGCGUCUGUAGGUGGUUUAAUAAGUCAACUGUUAAAUCUUGAGGCUCAACCUCAAAAUCGCAGUCGAAACUAUUAGGCUAGAGUAUAGUAGGGGUAAAGGGAAUUUCCAGUGGAGCGGUGAAAUGCGUAGAGAUCGGGAAGAACACCCGUGGCGAAGGCGGCCAGCUGGGCCGGUUCUGACGCUGAGGCGCGAAAGCGUGGGGAGCAAACAGG